rnacentral:rRNA from 1 species
AUUGAACGCUGGCGGCAGGCCUAACACAUGCAAGUCGAACGAGUGGCGGACGGGUGAGUAAUGUCUGGGAAUCUGCCUGAUGGAGGGGGAUCACUACUGGAAACGGUAGCUACUACCGCAUACCAUCAGAUGGGCCGGGUUGGGAUUAGCUUGUUGGUGGGGUAACGGCUCACCAAGGCGACGAUCCCUAGCUGGUCUGAGAGGAUGAACAGCCACACUGGAACUGAGACACGGUCCAGACUCCUACGGGAGGCAGCAGUGGGGAAUAUUGGACAAUGGGCGCAAGCCUGAUGCAGCCAUGCCGCGUGUAUGAAGAAGGCCUUCGGGUUGUAAAGUACUUUAAGCGGGGAGGCGUUACCCGCAGAAGAAGCACCGGCUAACUCCGUGCCAGCCGCCGCGGUAAUUC